rnacentral:tmRNA from 1 species
GUCGGGUUCGCCCGACUAUGGCGAUAAACGCUAUGCGGAAUAAGCGUUGUGGACCCGGGGGCGGUACCCGGCGCCUCCACCA